UUCCAGACUCCUACGGGAGGCAGCAGUGAGGAAUAUUGGUCAAUGGGCGGAAGCCUGAACCAGCCAAGUCGCGUGAGGGAAGAAGGCUUUCGGGUUGUAAACUUCUUUUCUCAGGGACGAAGAAAGUGACGGUACCUGAGGAAUAAGCCACGGCUAACUACGUGCCAGCAGCCGCGGUAAUACGUAGGUGGCAAGCGUUAUCCGGAUUUAUUGGGUGUAAAGGGCGUGUAGGCGGGAGCGCAAGUCAGAUGUGAAAACUCAGGGCUCAACCCUGAGCCUGCAUUUGAAACUGUGUUUCUUGAGUGCUGGAGAGGCAAUCGGAAUUCCGUGUGUAGCGGUGAAAUGCGUAGAUAUACGGAGGAACACCAGUGGCGAAGGCGGAUUGCUGGACAGUAACUGACGUUGAGGCCCGAAAGCGUGGGGAGCAAACAGGAUUAGAUACCCGGGUA
rnacentral:rRNA from 1 species